GGCCAGGCUGUUCUUGACGCAGGCUCUGUGGUGCUCACGCCGCCUGAGUGUAAUGCGGUUUGGCUUCGGAAAUCUUUUCCUCCCUCUCUUUUGUGCUAUGCAUUGUGCUUCUCAAAGCACUUUCCUGUUGAAACGAGGACAGCAGAAAAAGGAAAGCCAUUCCCAACCUCACUGGGACCCAUCAGAGCAAUGUCUCUCUGGGAUGGGGAAUACACUCUGCCAAGCAACCGCAAGAGGAAAAAGAGAGGCCUGAUUCUCCGGCACUUCCACAUGGGUGUAAACCAGGAGCAGUGACACUGAAAUCAGUGGCGUUACUAUGCCGUAGCCCCACCUUAACUCACCUUCAGGAUCGUGCAGCUCAGACAAGUCUGAUGAUCCAGGAAAGCAAUGACUCAAUUUAACCAAGCCACCAGACAGCGAAGGACUGGAGAGAGAUGUCGGAUUGUUUUCAUGCAACGCUGAGCAUUUCCAAAGUAACACCAACAAGAUGUUUAGCCAGCACAUCGUGAAAGAACUAUUCAAGUUGAAUGGCCCAUCAACAGGGCUGGCUCCAGGGCUUUUGCCGCCCCAAGCAGCGC